rnacentral:rRNA from 1 species
AGGUCCAGCCUGCCCAGUGACAAAGUUAAACGGCCGCGGUACCCUAACCGUGCGAAGGUAGCGCAAUCACUUGUUCUUUAAAUGAGGACUAGUAUGAAUGGCAUCACGAGGGUUAUACUGUCUCCCCCUUUUAAUCAGUGAAACUGAUCUUCCCGUGAAGAAGCGGGAAUAUAUCUAUAAGACGAGAAGACCCCAUGGAGCUUAAAACUCAGUAUCAGCUGCCCUCUAAUACAUCCUCUUAAUUAGGCAGACUUGACUACUAGUUUUCGGUUGGGGUGACCGCGGAGCAAAACAAAACCUCCACGAUGAAAGGAACUAAUUUCCUAAUCAAAGAACCACAUUUCUAUGAAUCAACAAAUUGACAUUUAUUGAUCCAAUUUUUUUGAUCAACGAACCAAGUUACCCUGGGGAUAACAGCGCAAUCCAUUUCAAGAGCCCCUAUCGACAAAUGGGUUUACGACCUCGAUGUUGGAUCAGGGUAUCCCAGUGGUGCAGCCGCUACUAAAGGUUCGUUUGUUCAACGAUUAAAACCCUACGUGAUCUGAGU